AUGCCUGGUUGCGUUUGUUGAUCCAGAAUAAUUAAAUUAGGCUGCGUUCUUGAAAACUGCUUGGAUAUAGUCCGAUUAUAUGCCGUGGGCCUUUUAAUUUCUUUGUUUGCAAUUUCGCCAGUAAAAGAAAACGGACGGAUAAAAUACUGCUGCAGCCAGUUAAACGGGAGGGACGUCAUUUAUUGUGACGUUUGGAGCCAUGGAGUCUGCAUGCAGAUCAGACACAGAGCUCUUAAAGAAACGAACACCGAGGAGGUAAGAGGUGUGCAGCCUCCCGCUGGCAUCCGGGCUGAGCUGCCGAGCGGUCAGAAGCGAGGCCACACCCAGAGAGGAGAUCCUCCGCGUAGCCUCAGUAUGGAAGGUUUACGAUCUUCAGUCUUGGACUCAAGGGCAUCUGUCUAGUUUUCCCGGCCCUGUUCAGUCCGUCUGGGAUGGAGAUGCAGAACAGAACCUCACGACUCACAAAGCAGCCGACAGCGUUCAAUAGGAACCAACUUUCUGUUGUCUGGGAGAGAUGAAGCCCGGGCCGACACAACAGCAAACUGUUACCGGUUGGACAAUGGAAAAUGAAAUUUCAUCUGUCUUGGGA